rnacentral:lncRNA from 1 species
ACAUAUAGAUGUAUAUGUAUAUGUAUUUACAAAUCCCACCCCACCCCAUAUAUCAUUCGUUUGUUGAGUACCCAGUACUUGAAAGUCCCUUUGUGUCCUCUCAGUUGCCAACUGGGGGUAACACCGGCGUCGGCAGUAAUAAGAUGAAAUACUCGCAUACUUCCUUCUCGACUUGCUAGUAAUACCACCCAACGGAUCUGCAAAAAGUGCUAAAUCAUUUUCAACACAUUGGAUGGGAAAACAGCAAAAGCAGCAACAGUGGGGGCACAAUGGCCCAGUGGUUAGGGCAGCGGACUCGCGGUUGUAAGAACGCGGUUUCGAUUCCCAGACCUGCCACUGUGAGUGCUUAUUGAGCAAAAUAUCUUAGCUCCACGAGGCUCCUGCGAGGGUGGGGGGGUGAACCCCGCUGUACUCUUUCACCACAACUUUCUCUCACUCUUUCUUCCUACUUCUGUCACAAAGCAGAGGAACCAUGGUGUAAUCCACUAUGGUGUGGUAAACUGUCAGACCCUAGUCUAGAUUGAGAAUCCUCUGUACCCCAGGAUGGUUCAGCUUUCUACCCGUUAAAAGCCACCGUUUACGGAAUGAGGAUAACAACGUAGCUUUCGCGCCCGUGCAACCGCCAGUCUAUCGCGUGUGGUGAGUGGAUCUUCAAGUUGCCACACGCAUUCUUAGUAGCUUAGAGUAGGCUCGAAUUAGAGAUUAUUCUAUGUGACUAAUGGCGUAAGUCCUGAUUAGAAGAAGACAGCAGCAACAACGACUAAACUAAUAAAUAAAUAAAUAAUUUAAAGAAUUAUUUAUUAAUUUAUUUAACUGUGUAAAAUAUUGGUUUCAAAUUUUGGUACAAGGCCAGCAACUUUUCGCGGAGUCGGGUAAGCGGAUUACAUCAACCUCAGUGCUUAACUGGUACUUACUUUAUCGAACACGAAAGGAUGAGAGCUGAAAUUGGACCUUGGUAGAAUUAGAACUCAGAACGUAAAGACGGACGAAAUGUUGCUAAGCAUUUUGCUCGGCGUUGCUAACGAUUCUAUUCAAGAAAAAUGCAUAAAAUAUUAAAAUUGAUUUCCAAUACGAGCAGCAAACAAAAUUUAUUUUAGAACAAAGAUGUAGUCGAUUUGUAAUCGAUCGAUCGAUUCAUUGAUCAAUAUUUCCCUAAAAUUUGUAUUAUCAUCUGUUCUGAAAUGACGAAAGUUAAACUGGAACCAUAUAGAAUUCGAACUCAGAACGCAGAGGGACGUAAUGAAAUAUGCGGUUUUUUAAAAUAAAUAUUUGUAAUAUUCUUCUAUUCUUACCUUUCUGUUGCAAUGCUUUCUAAUUUUAGCCAAAAAUCCAGCAAUUUUUAAGGGAAAGGGGUUAGCCUAUUCUAUCAACUCAAGUACUUACUUUAUCGACCGUGAAAAGAUGAAAGACAAAGUUAACAUCGGCGGGAUUUGAACUUUAGUACAUAAUGAGCCGGAACAAAUACGUAAAAAUUGUUUGUACGCCGCUCUAGCGAUUCUCCUAGCUCGCCGCCUUAACAAUUGAAGCAAAAUAUAGUUACAAAUUUUGCCACAAGUAGUUCUAGAUAUGUAUGUAUAGAUGUGCAUGUGUGUGUCUGUAGAGGGGGAUGGGGAGGAGUGUUAGUUGAUACUCAGUAUUUGAUCUCUACUUUAUUUAAUCAGCCGCGAAAGGAUGAAAGUUGACCUUGGUGGGAGUUGAACUCAGAACAUUAAGGUACGGAGCAAAUCCGAAAAAAAACCCAAACAAACUAAUAAUAAUAAAGUGAAUAAAGCACUUAUCUAACGAUUCUGCCAGCUCACCGACUCUGUCCGUUGAAUAUCUUAUCAUAUUUAAAAUUGGUACAUUGCCGUAUAUCUUGGUAUAGGUGGUGAUCGUGGCCAUGAUGCAGUAGUCAAUUAAAAUUCUACCUCAUUGUAUUACUGGUAUUUUUGUUAUGGAUCCCCGACGAGUAAAAGACAAUGUCAAUCUCAGUAGGAUUCGAAGUUAGAAUCUUUAAGGGACGAAGCUAAAAACUGCAGUGCAAGCUACCGAAUUUGAUGACAUACAAGAUGCGCCUUUUGGUUUUCCCCAUAAAUGUAUGUAUAGAUGUGCAUGUGUGUGUCUGUAGAGGGGGAUGGGGAGGAGUGUUAGUUGAUACUCAGUAUUUGAUCUCUACUUCAUUUAAUCAGCCGCGAAAGGAUGAAAGCUGACCUUGGUGGGAGUUGAACUCCGUACCUUAAUCUUUAAAAACUAACCCCGAGUCCUACAUGUGAAGUCGAGCUUCCCAUAAGCUUUAAUACUUUAAAAACAUUUUUAUACCCGAAUGUAAGCUGGUGAAAUUGGGGUGGAUCUAAUAUGAUCACCUGUUUUUUUACGCCAUCAAAUAACGGUAUUUAAGCCAUCACUAAUAAUUCUAUUUGUAAUGUCCAUUGCCCUCUAAAUAAAGGUUCCUAAUUUAAAGAGUCAGAACAAAUAUCGAACCAUUUGGUCCGAAGUCCUUACGUUUCUGUCGGUUCGUAGCCUGUUUUAAUAAUAGCAGUUCCUACUUUUGGCACAAGGCCAGUAAUUUUGAUGGUGCGGUUAGUUGAUGCCAUCGAUCCCAAUAUUUGACUGGUACUUAUUUUAUCGAUCCCGAAAGGUUAAAGGACAAGGUUGACUGUGGCAGGAUUUUGAGCGCAAAACGUUGCCAGCCGGAUGCUCUAACGAUUCCACCAAACCACCGUCCUUGCCCUUGGUAAUAGCUAUUUCUACUAUAGGUACAAGGGCCUGGAAUUUUGUGGAAAGGGUUACGCGAUUACGUCGAUUCCGAUAUUCCACCUCGAAAGGAUGAAAGACAAAGUCGACCUCGGCGGGAUUUGAACUCAGAACGUUAGGCGGGAAGAAAUACUUCUAAGCAUUUCGUCCGACGCGGUAACCUAUCUGCCAGUAAUCAUGAUAAUAAUAAUAAGGUUCUACAUUGUCAUAAGGCCCAAACACUGUUUUUGGAGGUGGGAUGAAGUACAGAGUAAAAAAUAAAAAUACCCUCAGUAUAUAACUAGUACCUAUUUUAUCGACCCCGGGGAUAUAGACAAGGCUGAUCUUGGUGGCGUUUGAUCUCAAAGCGUAGAGAGGUAUAUAAACGUUGCAAGGCAUUUAACGGCGGCAAUACUGAUUCCCUAAAAAUACAAAUACGCAAAAUUCCAAAUCCAUGUAUACGACUGAAAUAUCCAUACACAUACGGAAAUACGGAAAUAAUAGGAAUUUCUGAAUUAAGUACACGGCCAGCAGUCGACACCAUCCACUCCAUGUUUGAAUGGUUCUUUCUUUUUGAUCUCCAUGUGUCUAACACACGUGGACAUGCCUACAAAGUCAGAAAACAACACAGCUCCCAUGACUUUCGGAAACAUUUUUUCACGCUCAGAGUUGCUGAAGCAUGGAAUAAACUGCCUGCGUUAGUUGUUGACUGCCAUGACACUGCAUCCUUUAAGGCCCUCAUGCUUUCCGAAAUCCGCCGAAACUACACCUGAUUAUAUAUACACUUUAGAUGAGUUGUAGUGCACCUGAGCACUGUACACAAUUAUUAUUAUUAUUAUUAAUCUAUUUUGGAUAGGUGAAAGGUAAAGUUGUCUCUAAGUGUGAUUAGAGAUCAGAAAGUAAAAAACUAGAACAAAACCACAAAGCGUUUUUUUUCCCCUGCCGCUCUGAUGAUUCUUUCUAACUCGCUGCCUCAGUAAUGAAGCAAUAUGGAAUGGGAACGGGAUAAGUCUAUUACACUGGCUCCAGUAGUUGACUUGUACUUUAUUUUAUCGACCCCGAAAGGAUGAAAGGUAACGAUGGCCUCAGCAAGAAUUUGAAUUCAUAAGGUAAAGGGCCAAGGGAAACGCUGCUAAAGGCGCGAACGAUCCUGUCAGCUCGCCACCUCAAGUUAAUAAUGAUAAUAACACUUUCUAGAAUUGGCGCAAGGCCUGAAAUGUUUUGGGAGAGGGUUAUUUGGUUAUAUUGACCCAAGAUCGACUGUUACUUAUUUUAUCAACUCCGAACGGACGAUAAGCUACGUUGGACUUGGGCGGAACUUGAACUCAAAAUGUGAAGAGCCGGAAGAAAUGUCGCUAGGCAAUUUGUCCGGGCAGGUAACGAUUUUGUCAGUUUGCUACCUUGAAGUUAAUAACGAUGAUAAUGAUAAUUCUUUCUAGUAGCGGCUCAAGGUCUGAAAUUUUGGUGGAGUGGGCUAGUCGAUUACAUCGACCCCCAGUGCUCAACUCAUUGUAUUACUGGUAUUUUUGUUAUGGAUCCCCGACGAGUAAAAGACAACGUCAAUCUCAGUAGGAUUCGAAGUUAGAAUCUUUAAGGGACGAAGCUAAAAACCGCAGUGCAAGCUACCGAAUUCGAUGACAUACAAGAUGCGCCUUUUGGUUUUCCCCCCAAAUAUCUUUAAAAGCUCACCCCGGGUCCUACAUGUGAAGUCGAGCCUCCCAUAAGCUUUAAUGCUCUAAAAACAUUUUUAUACCCGAAUGUAAGCUGGUGAAAUUGGGGUGGAUCUAAUAUGAUCACCUGUUUUUUAUGCCAUCAAAUAACUUAUGAUCAAAAUCCUUUAUCGACUCUGAAAGGAUGAAAGGCAAAGUCGACUUCGGCGGAAAUUGAACUCAGAACGCAAAGACAGGCGACAUGCCGUUAAGCAUUUCCCCCUGUUGUGCUAACGAUUCUGCCAGCUCGUUGCCUUAAGGAACAUGAUAAUAGUGACAAUACAACUUAGUUAACCACUAAGUUAUACAGUGACAAGUAUAACAGGAGUAAAGUAUGAAGACGAGCUUAGAAACAGAAAGACAGAAUAAAUAUAAAUAACUGUAAGAUGACAAGAUAAAUAGAGAGACGAUGGAAGAAAGAAAGGUAGACAGGGUGAGUAAUUUACUGAGAGGAGAGAGAGAGAGAGAGAGAGAGAGAGGGAGGGAGUGAGAGAGAAUAGAGAGAGUAAAAAAGAGAUGAAGAAAGAAUAAAGAUAAAGAUAUAUAUGUAUGUGUAUAUAUAUAUAUAUAUAUAUAUAUAUAUAUAUAUAUAUAUAUAUAUGAAGGUGGGGGAAAGAAAGAGAAAUAGAGAUGGUUAGUGACUGAGUGGAAGAUAGAAAUAGAUUUAGAAAGAAGGGGAAUGUUAGAGAGAAAGGAAGAAACAGACAAAAGACAAAGAGAAAUAUAGAUAGAUAAAGGGAGAGAGAAAGAGAAAUACUGAGAGAGAGAGAGAGAGAGAGAGAGAGAGAGAGAGAGAGAGAGAGCGAAGAGCGAAGAAAAGAAAAAAAUAGGAAAGAAUGUUGUAUUUUUCAUUGUUUCUCAUCAAAGAUUGAUGACAUGCUAGAAAAUUUAAUAUUUUAAAAAAAUUUCUGUUACGAAGCCGCCAUGUUUGAUAGUAACCAAAAUAUAUUAUUUGUCGAAGAGUAAAUGUAGAUUAUUGCAAUUAUUUUUCAAUAUUUACCGCCAUAUUGAAUCUGUUUCGAGUAGCCUUCAGUGACGAGAACCAGGGACAAAGGUUGCUAUUAUGGUCCGUAGUAAGGAAAGACCACCACCUAAAUCUGAACGUCUCCAUCCCACUUAACUUUUCUUAAGGACACUCUCUGUCAAUGGUGACCACGCAUCUGCACACAUAUGUGCAAUCCUGGAGAUGAUUUCCUUUUUUUUAGUUGCCUAUGUAUCUAUUAUGAUGACCAGUUACCUAUGUAUCCACGCCAUAGAAGUUUAAUCAAAUAAAAUGCUACUGUCUUGGCUCUAGUAUAAUUAUAGGCGUCGCUGUCUGAAUGCAAAGAUAUCACAAGUCACGUCGUCUAAUCUUUUAACAGUUCCGUCAACUUACCUAUUUCUUUACUACCCACAAGGGGCUAAACACAGAGGGGACAAACAACGACAGACAAACGGAUUAAGCCGAUUACAUCGACCCCAGUGUGUAACUGGUACUUAUUUAAUAGACCCUGAAAGGAUGAAAGGCAAAGUCGACCUCGGCGGAAUUUGAACUCAGAACGUAGCGGCAGACGAAAUACCUAUUUCUUUACUACCCACAAGGGACUAAACACAGAGAGGACAAACAAGGAUAGACAAACGGAUUAAGCCGAUUACAUCGACCCCAGUGCCUAACUGGUACUUAAUUUAUCGACCCCAAAAGGAUGAAAGGCAAAGUCGACCUCGGCGGAAUUUGAACUCAGAACGUAACGGCAGACGAAAUACGGCUACGCAUUUCGCCCAGCGUGCUAACGUUUCUGCCAGCUCGUCGCCUAGUUCCGUUAACUUACCGCGUUUGACUGAUACUCAACCAGGUAAACUGUAGUAGUAGUAGUAGUAGUAGUAGUUGCUGUUGUUGCUUAGCGUUAAAUCAACGGCGCAGAUCGUGCCGCCAUGACAAUUCUAGAACUAAUGUUCAAUAGGUCUUUUCGUUUUCUUGAUGAUCGGGCGGGAUUUUCGGGAGAGAUGUAAGCUAUUUCGAGCAUUUUGUAUGACCAUGUAGAAGCGCCCCUAUUAGGUUUUUAAACUUGGCAACGUUUCACUCACGUUUAUUUCUGUUUUUGUUAUUUCUAAUAUUUUAUGUGGCCACACAAUGACUUCCCCAUGACUUGUUCUCUAAUUCAAGAUUACCCUGUUCAAACAGACUUAUGAUCAAAAUCAUUCUAACCAAGGCCAUGAAUACUCUGUCUUUUAACCAGACAUAGUAUUAUAUCGCAAUACUACACAAUGGCUGUGUGAGCUACGAAAAUCCUCGUCACCACUGUUAUAUCUCACGUUCGGAUGACCUCUACUCAACUCCUCGACGUCUAGAAUUCUCCCUCUAUAUCUACGUAUUGGGCUAGCCUACUUCAUCGUCUGGGGGCGUCUACACAAUACAUAGUCUACCUCAGGCUAUAUUAACAAAUGUGCCAGUUUUUAAAGAUUAGAAGGUGAGCUGGUGAUGAUGUUACGUGGUGUAGAUUGAACUAUUAUUUCUUUAGAGUCAAGCAACUACGAAGAUGUUCGAAAUAGUUCAUGUUUUCAAAGCGCCUUUAAGAAAUGCUUCACGGCAUGGUCAGGGUUUUUCCAGAGUCAACUUAUACAGCUACGAGAAAAUUCCGUGAAAAUACAAAUACGCAAAAUUUCACAUCCAUAUAUACGACUGAAAUAUCCAUACUCAUACGGAAAAUUCAACGUACAUCCACGCAUGGAAUAUUCCACAAUUCCAUACAGAUGGAAACUUCUCCCUGUAGGUUAGAAACUCGCCUUGUAACCACGUGGUUUUGGGUUCAGUUCCACUGCGUGACACCUUGGGCAAAUGUCUUCUACUAUAGCUCAGGGCCAACCAAUGCCUUUUGAUUGAUGUGAGACGGAAACGGUGUGGAAGCCCGUUGUCUAUAUGUAUGUAUGUAUGUAUGUAUGUAUGUAUGUAUGUAUGUAUGUAUGUAUGUAUGUAUGUAUGUAUAUGUGUGCGCGUGCGUCUAUGUGCAUAUGUGUGUAUGUCACUUUAUGUUUGCGUUCGUCCUUUCCACCGCUCGACAACCAGGGUUAGUUUGUUUACGUCCUCGAAAUAUAACGGUUCGGCAAAAGCGACCGAUAAAAUAAGUACUAGGAGGUGGAGGGGGGUCGAUUUGUCCGACUAAGCCUUUCAAGGCGGUGCCCCAGCAUGGCCACAGUCCGAUGACUGCAACAAGUAAAAGACGUGAAAUGAAUAUAUGUUAAGUUCCGCGUAGAAGCGCGAAUGAAUUGUUGCAUACACAUUAACACAUUAAAAUGGCAUACGUACCCCUCCACACACGCACACACACACACACACACACACACACACACACACACACACACACACACACACGCACACACACGCACACACACACACGGGAAGUUCCAUGCACAUAUGGAACAUUCCAUACACAUAGGAAAGGAAAAUUCAUGCAGACGCAGUAAGCUCGAUAUUCGAACAUAUACAGUAAGUUGUGUACGGAUUUAUGGUUUCGAAAUUUUGACACAAGGCCAGCAAAUUUAGGGGUGGUGGGGGUGGGGCACUUUUAUUUUAUCGAUCACGAAAGGACGAAAGGCAAAGUCGACCUGCAAUUUGGGAUCUUUUCGGUUUGAACGGCAGCUUUUUCUAGCGGUGUCAUAUGAAAUUGUCACCCAUAAUUAUGACCCUAGUAUCGAUCUAUUGCAUUUCAAUCUAUUUUAGGGUUAGGGUUAGGGUUAGGGGUGGGGGGAAAGGUAUCUUUUUUUCUUCACAAAUGUAAAUAAACCCAAUCUGUUUCUUAAACGAGGGGCAUAUUGAUACGGCACAGAAUGUUGUUUACCACAAUGGACGUCACUGAUUGGUUGAAAUUGCAGAAAUUAAAGAAAAAAAAACAACAAAUAUCUUACAAACUAUAGAAUUUUCUCAAUAAAGCCAAGAGAAAAAGAUGUUUCAUAAACACAUUCUACCAGUAUACGAAGUUAAAAAUUUUUUAGUUACCUAGAAAUUAUGUUAAAAACUGCCGUUCAAACCGAAAAGAUCCGCAAUUUGAACUUAGUAAAGACGGACGAAAUGUCGCUAAUCAUUUUGCUUGGAGCGGUCACGAUUCCACCAACUUCCGCCAGAUUCUGGCCAUCUUCCGUCUUAAGCCGUAGACACAUAUUAAAAGUCGUCCACAUAAACACACAUGGAGCCGUGGAAAUAUUCACUGCUAUAAGUAGUAAGCAGAGUUCAAUUCUAUAGAAGAGCUUGAACCUUCCCAUGGGUUUGGACAGAUUAAAGGAGAAAUCACAUAAGAUAUUCAAUGAUUUAGCCACAAUUUUGAUGUCUUGUAGAUAUUAACUAUGUCGAGUUUAUAUCCCGUCGAGUCAACUUCGCCUUUCAUCACUCCGAGAUCAAUAAAAUAAAGUAACGGUUAAGUACUGUGCUAGAUUUAAUCCGCCUACCAGUCAUUCCUUUCACAAUAAGAGAAAAAAAAAACGUCUAACCUUGUGGUCAUGUUAGAAACAAUACACACACACACACACACACACACACACACACACACACACACACACACACACACACACACACACACACACAAGCAUUAUUUCGACAAAAUGUUUAUUCACUUUCAGAUUUACCUUUGAAUGAGUUCUUUAUUCUAAGUGGACGGAUAUAGUUUCUUUGAACACUUCGCCCCUGG